rnacentral:rRNA from 1 species
GACGUAGGGGGCCAGCGUUGCUCGGAAUUACUGGGCGUAAAGGGUCCGUAGGCGGUGCGGUAAGUCGGGAGUGAAAUCUCUGGGCUUAACUCAGAGGCUGCUUCCGAAACUACCGUGCUAGAGUGCGAGAGAGGCAAGUGGAAUUGCGGGUGUAGCGGUGAAAUGCGUAGAUAUCGGGAGGAACACCAGUGGCGAAGGCGAUCACCUGGGGUUGUUCUGACGCUGAGGAGCGAAAGCUAGGGGAGCAAACGGG